rfam:Rhodnius prolixus Rhodnius_prolixus-3.0.3-167.21, whole genome shotgun sequence.
GUCGGCUAUGGAGACAUGGUACCCAAAACCUAUGUAGGCAUGUUCGUCGGCGCUUUGUGCGCCCUGGCCGGCGUGCUGACGAUUGCGCUGCCCGUGCCGGUCAUUGUCUCCAAU